rnacentral:rRNA from 1 species
CCCUUUGUGAACAUACCUAUGACUGUUGCUUCGGCGGGUAGGGUCUCCGUGACCCUCCCGGCCUCCCGCCCCCGGGCGGGUCGGCGCCCGCCGGAGGAUAACCAAACUCUGAUUUAACGACGUUUCUUCUGAGUGGUACAAGCAAAUAAUCAAAACUUUUAACAACGGAUCUCUUGGUUCUGGCAUCGAUGAAGAACGCAGCGAAAUGCGAUAAGUAAUGUGAAUUGCAGAAUUCAGUGAAUCAUCGAAUCUUUGAACGCACAUUGCGCCCGCCAGCAUUCUGGCGGGCAUGCCUGUUCGAGCGUCAUUUCAACCCUCAAGCUCUGCUUGGUGUUGGGGCCCUACAGCUGAUGUAGGCCCUCAAAGGUAGUGGCGGACCCUCCCGGAGCCUCCUUUGCGUAGUAACUUUACGUCUCGCACUGGGAUCCGGAGGGACUCUUGCCGUAAAACCCCCAAUUUUCCAAAGGUUGACCUCGGAUCAGGUAGGAAUACCCGCUGAACUUAAGCAUAUCAAUAAGCGGAGGAAAAGAAACCAACAGGGAUUGCCUCAGUAACGGCGAGUGAAGCGGCAACAGCUCAAAUUUGAAAUCUGGCCCUAGGCCCGAGUUGUAAUUUGCAGAGGAUGCUUUUGGUGCGGUGCCUUCCAAGUUCCCUAGAACGGGACGCCAGAGAGGGUGAGAGCCCCGUACAGUUGGACACCAAGCCUUUGUAAAGCUCCUUCGACGAGUCGAGUAGUUUGGGAAUGCUGCUCAAAAUGGGAGGUAUAUUUCUUCUAAAGCUAAAUACCGGCCAGAGACCGAUAGCGCACAAGUAGAGUGAUCGAAAGAUGAAAAGCACUUUGAAAAGAGGGUUAAACAGCACGUGAAAUUGUUAAAAGGGAAGCGCUUGUGACCAGACUUGCGUCCGGUGAAUCACCCAGCUCUCGCGGCUGGGGCACUUCGCCGGCUCAGGCCAGCAUCAGCUCGCUGUCGGGGACAAAAGCUUCAGGAACGUAGCUCUCUUCGGGGAGUGUUAUAGCCUGUUGCAUAAUACCCUUCGGCGGGCUGAGGUACG